UAGCGCUGUCAGCUCUUCUGCUGGAUAAGUUUGUCCGUUUUCAGAUUAUCUUUCAGAUCAGAGCUGUCCUCACUGGAAGAAAGAACCGUGCUAUGGAGGGACACACACUCGCAAAUUGUUUCUAAUAUGCAGAAGGGUCAUGGAAGGCCCACCCUCACCCCCUCCUGCUGCUGCCUGCACCUCCUGAUCCCUCACCACCAGGGAGAGGGUAUAAAGUUCCUGAAUGAAGAUUACUGAUCAAUGAUCUACAAGAGGUUGUGGAUGAAAGGUCAGCACCCACAAUAUCAAAUACACACUCCUGUACUCAUACACUUUUAUGUACACUCAUGUUCACAUACUUUUGGCAUGUUCUGGCCUGUUAGUCCAUUUCCAGAAUUGAAAUCAAAUUGUUCAGUCUGGUUCAUUUUCUAUUCUAUUUAAAUGUAUGUGGAUGACAUAAGAAGAGGGGUGGAUCUUAAAACUUCUUUCACAAAAGUAUUUUAUUUAGCUGAUGCUGAAUUAAAAAAUAAUAAAUAAUUAUUCACUCAUUCAUCUUUAGUAACCACUUAAUCCUGGUCAGGGUUGUACUGGACCCAGAGUCCAUUCUGGGAAAACUGGGCAUGAGGUGUUAAUACACCUUGGAUUGGAAAUCAGGGCACAAUGCACACACACAUUCACAUCUAGCGACAAUUUAGAGUAGCCAAUCCACCUGUUGGCAUGUUUCUGGGAGGUGGGAAGAAACUGACGAACAUGAAGGAAACCCACAUGGACAAGGGAGAACAUGAAUCUCCAAACGGACAAUAAUUCAAGCUCAGGAUCGAAUCAAGGAGGCUGGAGCUGUGAGGCGGCAACACAACCCGCUGGGCCACCCAAUAAAUAAUUGAAUAAAGGUGUGCCUGUCUAUAAUAAGACUAGCACACACACACCAGCUAUAAAAGUAUAGAUUUCAAAUAAAUAUAUACAUAUUUGAUAGCUAGUUGCUUAGUUAGGCUGGUUACCAAACAGCAAAUAAGUAAAUUUCUUAUUUUUAAACAACUUGGCUUUUAACCAGCAGCAGAAAAUUAGCUUUAUAAUCAUACAGCUGAUGCAAAAAAGGCUUUAUCAUGUUUUUGUGGGGAAUUUAUGAUAGCUGGAAGGAUGUAUACCAACCCUUGUGUAUGUUCACUGCUAGACAGACACCAGUUGUAAUGUGCAUAAGUCAGAAUUUUGCCACUCACUACAACAUAAUCCUUCACUUAUUAUUUAAAUCUCCCCCUUAACAAUUUAAAAUGAUUGUACAUUCCCUUAUAUACACAUCCUUUUCACACUCACAUACUAUACAGCUGUUCUUAAUCUAGUUCUUUUAUACUUUCACACUCAUCCUCUUAUAUUUUUAGACAUUUAUGUUUAUACAGCUGAUUCAGGUGACAGAUAUAAAAGCAUACAUAAACAGUAUAGUGAGUUAACUUUAUACACACAAAUAUUAGACACAGCGUAGACAACAGAUCAUGUACACAACAGCAGACAUGUUGUCUGUCUGAGUGUGUCUGAGACAACACAUUCCUAUUGUUGAACAGUCGAAGUCCCACUCAUCUCCCAUCUCUGUGUCUUUCUUCUUCUUUUUCUUUCAUGCACACACACCCACACCCAUCAUGAUCACCAUCUCAUCACCAUGACGUACACACAUCCACCAUCAGAGGGCUGCCUAGCCUGAAGUGGGCUUUGACAGCACCGGGUAGGCAGAACACAGGAAGCACAUUUAGGUAUCAGCUCCUGUCGUCUACACCUUUUCACAUCCCAUCACGGUUACAUCCCUCUAUCGGCUCUCUCACUCUUCAGCAAAGCUGAAAGUGUGGCCUGCUCCAGUUUGCUCGAGCUAAAUGACACGUCACAAUAUGAACAUGUGCAGACGAGCAAAUGAAAUAUUUACAGAAGGAACAAAAAGUAGAGAAAGAGAGUGAGUGAGAGAGACAGAGAGAGAGAUAGAGAGAGAGAGAAAGGGCAAACGAGGAAAUGAAAAUGAAACAAAGUAAGAAAGGGAAUGAAAUGGAGGAAUGAAGAGGGCUGAGUAAAUAACUGUGAGUGUGGAUGAGAAUGCAGGAGAUCAGGAAAGAACAGGAUGUGGGUGGCACAUCAAAUGCAUUUCCAUCCACACCAGCUCAUGCUUUAAAAAAAAAAAACAA